rnacentral:rRNA from 1 species
CCAGCAGUCGCGGUUAGACGAAUAAUAUAAGUAAAUUUUGUUGGGUUGAGUUAACUGUUUUAUAAUUUAUUUUUUAUGAAUUUAUUAGGUGAAAUUUUAAUUUUGUUUUAGUAAUCAAUUGUUUAAUAUUUGAAGCUUUUAAAUUUUAAUUAAAAACUAGGAUUAGAUACCCUAUUAUUUAAAAAUUAAUAUGUAUUCUUAGGUAGUAGUAGUUAUGUGCUUGAAACUUAAAAAAUUUGGCGGUAUUUUAGUCUGUCCAGAGGAACCUGUUCUGUAAUCGAUAACCCACGUUGGACCUUACUUGAUAAUGUAUUCAGUUUAUAUACCGUUGUUAUAAGAAUAUUUUAUAAGAAUAAUAAUUUUCUUGAAUUUUUAUUAAAAUUUAUAUCAGAUCAAGGUGUAGCUAAUGAUUAAGUAGAAAUGGGUUACAAUAAAUUUAUUUAAACGGAUUAAAAAUGAAAAAAUUAUUGAAGGUGGAUUUGGUAGUAAAAUUAUUUAUAUAGUUAAUUUGAUUUUAGCUC